AUAGCUGUGCUUGUGGUGUGGGAUUCUACUUACGGCCGUGAUAGCAAACGGACGCGUGUGGAAUGGGCUCCGCCGGAGCGGUAUCAGCGGCCCAGUCUGGCCGCGGAAACAGGAUUUAUGCGGAUGAAGCCCUGGACUAUCAAGUUAUUCUGCCGUCGCUGCCAACAGGGACCGUGAGUGCCGGUACCCGGUCCAGACCAGAGCUCACCCUGGUUGACUAGUCGUGUCACUGAGUCGGUGCCCCUGGAGUGUCUUCUGCGGAACGGAGUGAGCAGCUUGCCCGUGGCGAUCGUUCCCACAGAUGCUGUCCGUCGUCCAGCCUCCUACGAAAGAGGCGGCGGGUCCAGCGCGCAUCUCUUCGCUCGCGUGUCCCGCGACAUGCGAGGCGCCCCGAAGACGUCGUCGCCGGACGCGAGGCGGGC